rnacentral:rRNA from 1 species
UACGUAGGGUGCAAGCGUUGUCCGGAAUUAUUGGGCGUAAAGAGUUCGUAGGCGGUUUGUCGCGUCCGCUGUGAAAGUCCAGGGCUCAACCCUGGAAUGCCGGUGGAUACUGUCGGGCUCGAAUCCGGAAGAGGUGAGUGGAAUUCCUGGUGUAGCGGUGAAAUGCGCAGAUAUCAGGAGGAACACCAAUAGCGAAGGCAGCUCGCUGGGACGUUACUGACACUGAGGCGCGAAAGCGUGGGGAGCGAACAGG